rnacentral:rRNA from 1 species
AGGACGAACGCUGGCGGCGUGCUUAACACAUGCAAGUCGAGCGGAAAGGCCUUUCGGGGUACUCGAGCGGCGAACGGGUGAGUAACACGUGAGUAAUCUGCCCAUCGCUUCAGGAUAGCCAUCGGAAACGGUGAUUAAUACUGGAUAUGACAUUCCUUCGCAUGUUGGGGUGUGGAAAGUUUUUUCGGCGGUGGAUGUGCUCGCGGCCUAUCAGCUUGUUGGUGGGGUAAUGGCCUACCAAGGCUUUGACGGGUAGCCGGCCUGAGAGGGUGACCGGCCACACUGGGACUGAGACACGGCCCAGACUCCACGGGAGGCAGCAGUGGGGAAUAUUGGACAAUGGGCGAAGCCUGAUCCAGCAACGCCGCGUGAGGAGUGACGGCCGUCGGUUCGGU